GGGACAGUGGCCAUGGGCUUCCACCCAGCUGGACGGGGCUGCAGCUGGGCCUGCCUGACGGUAAUAAAGAAUGUGGAGAGCUCGCUUGCCCGCCACAGCCCAGCGGCAGGAAACAUCCCGAGAGCACCUGCUUCCUGAGGGCCCUGCAGGGCUCCUGGGCACCAUCUGGGCGCUGCCCCGAGUGCUGUUUGCAUUAGGAGUUUAGAAAAACAAUUCGGCUUUGACUGAUCGCUCUGUAAUUUUCUCAGGCGCAUCCCAGGGUCUCACCCUGCCCCCCUGCCUCUGUCCUUGCCAGCUCUUCUCAGGAGUUCCUAGGCCGACACACACACACCACACUCACACCACACACAAGCCGCUGCAACACACUCACAUGCACACACAUAUACACACAUUCUCACACACACGCACUAUUGCAGCUCACGCACGUGCCCUCGCCUUCUACAGUUCUCAGGGAUACCCUACUCUCUUCUCAGAGGUGGGGCCCUCGCCUCUUUGGGAUCGGCAGGGGAAGGGUCAGCAGUCCUGGGAGCUCAGGGUGGGAGCGGCUGUGGAGCAUGGGGCCUGCAGCCGGACGCCGGGGCUGAAUCCCGGGUCUGCGGCACCUCGCCCGCUAUCUGCGCUUCCGUCGCCUCUGUCGUUGAAGACUGAGGCUGCCGCUGGCCCCUCAGCCCUGCUCAGAACAGCGCCUGGCUCAGAGGAAGCGCGACACGUGUUCAUUGUUAAAAAUUCCAGCAACUCAAGGUGUGCACCUGCCCCCGGGCCUUUGCAAGGGCUGCUCCCUCUUCUGGAAAGCCAAGGCUUGCUUCCUCACGUCCCUUGAGAUUCCACUCAAAUGUCACCUUCUCUGUUUAAAGCCUUCCCCCGCCCCUCCCAGCUCCGUUGCCCACCUUCACGGACUUGGCUUCUGCAGCUGUUCCUCUCUGGAAUGCGUGUGGAAGGCAGGAAGUCCUGCUGCGGGCCCAGGACGCCCGGGACGAGGCCGGGCCUUAGAAGGCGUUUGAUGAACAACUUCGUCUGAGGGGGCGAAGAGCACGUCCCUGAGGGCUUGUUUGAGGCCUGAGGGGGCCCACAGGCGAGCCUGACCGCUCUGACCGGGAGCGAGCGCGCAGUGGGAGAAUUGUUGUCAUCGUUAGUAGUAGUGGUAAUGUUGUGGUUUUGGUGGCUGUUUGUUGGAAGCCCGCGGUAGACCAGCAAACAUUCCCUCUUCUUCUGAUAACCCAUCCCGUUCCCUCUGGGAACCGCCCCCCACACUGUGGGCCCACGGCAAUGGGCUCAGAGAUGGGCAUGAUCCAAAGUCAACCAGAGACAUUCCCCAUUUCCUGAUGGCUGAGCAGAUGCAAUGGCUGGCACUGCUGCAGCUGUCUCUCCACCAGGCGGAGAGUGAAGCAUCAGAGGUGAGCCAGGCUGAAGGACAGAGAGAGGCCUGAGCCAGGCAGCAGUGACGGUGCUCAGACCCCUUCUCAGUCUGGGCCUAAUCCACGUCUGGUCUUUCAGCUGCUUAUGUCAAUAACACUCAUUUCAGUUAAGCCCAUUCAGGUUAGGUCGCUGUCACUUGCCACCAGCAAGGUCCUGCUUGAUCUAGAAUCUGACGUGGAAUCCUCUGGAAGUUUUCUCCUUUCACCCCCAUCCUCCCCCUUCUCUUCCUGCGCCCAAGAAAUGUUUGUUGAAUGAAGGGAUGGAUGAACGACUGGCUAAAUGACCCACUUAGCCUCAGAUGCUAAGAGGAGACAGGUUGCGAGGGCCUGUAUCAGAGGGUCCUUGUGCAUGAGGCUGGCAUAGGGGGAGCCAGCCAGGGGACAAGAGGCCAAAGGCCGUAUGAUGGGGUUGCUGGGGAGUUGUUUCCUUGCUUGGGCCGACUGGCCUGUGCUGUGGACCCUGGACUAGUUCUGCAGCAUGCACGUGUCCCUGUAGCCAUGACCCCGUGCUCGCUUCCUCUCAGGACUCAGCAAAGUUCUCGUUUGGGGCACAGCAGUGGGAGAAGUUUGGCUCCUGGGUGAGCUCGAGUGUUGGAGGUGCGUGGGGUAGACUGCCAGCUGCCCCGAUACCUGCUCUCCUCUCUUUCUGUGGUCCUAGAACUGGCAAUGAGGCACGGGACCACAUCCCUUCACUUAGGCGCAGCCGUGGGGUAGGCUCUGAACCAUCUGUCCUGCUCCAUCCUGCUGCCUGGGAGGCGGGCGCGCGGAUGGGCCAUCCUGGACCACACGGGGACAAUGGAGCAACAAGGCAGAGAGAGCCUGGGUUUCCAACCCCUGGAGCCAUCAUAUCAGCCCCGAAAGGCUGAUGCCCAGACGAGUAGUGAGAGAGAAAUGCACUUCCACAUUGUUUACACUGCUCUUAUUUUCCAUCUCUGUCCUAUAACCUAAGAUAGGGAGGAGGUGCCUCCUGGGCUAGACGUCAUGGGGGCCACUGAAGUCUGAGAAAGGGGCUCCCACAUAGCAGCUGCUUCCCCCCCAUCAGCAGGGUUCUCUACCUGCGGAUCUUUCCAACCUGACAUCGCCAGUUAAAGCCCUCCUCUCUGUCCCCUCCUACUCCAAGUGCCCUCCUGGCUGAAAGCGUGUGCCUUCUGUGGGACGACUCCCUCCCCAGCCCACAGCAGUCGGGGGGGGGGGGGGGCAGGCCCCCAGUGAAACCUGAGUGCCUUCAGUCACUGCCCCUCCAAGUCCACCCACCUUCUCCUCUCUGUCCACGCUCACCCCUCCUGGAGGCCCCCUGAAGAGUGGCCCACCGCCUCCGUCCCUGUUCUGGGCCUGGGAACCCUCCUGCCCUCCCUCCCCUGGUGCCCUGGCAUGUGCCAGGAAGUGCCAAGGAUUCCCCAUCUCUGAAAGGGCGGGCCAGCUGGGCUGUGGAGUGAGGCCCUGGGCUAGCCUGCCAGGGCUCUCCAGGCUGCCCUUCCAGAAACUCCCAGCCCCUUCCUGCCUGGCCUCCUGCCCAAGCCCUUCCUGGAAACUGGGCCCACCCU
rnacentral:lncRNA from 1 species